AUCCGUGCUGACCCGAGCGGGCUCGGGCUGAGGAGCGGCUGCAGGGACCGGGACAAACGGGGGGGCAGAGAGGGGUUUCGGCCGGGUUUUAAGGAUGCCCGCUGGGGAGGAGGCAGAGCGGCUCCAGCUCUGCUCUCCAGACUGCUGUGGGUGCUCCUCGGAGCCGCGGAGUUUCAUCGGUCCCAAACCUGCUGGGGAAAGGCCCCGUGAAGCCACAGGAGCCCCGGCACAGCCUGAGCAGCCCCGGCCCGGCGCGUCCUUCCCCCGCAGCUCCCGCCCGAGGCCAUCGGGGCCACAGGGCUCCCUGAGGGGACACCCCGAGGGCCCCAGCCCUGCUCGAGCAGAGGCAGCACCAUCUAGAGUUAAGGAGAGAAAGAAACCGAGCGAGCGGCUUCCGAAUUUCCCGUAAAGCAGCCGACCCGCAGCUGCAUUUCCUGGCGGGAUCUUUUCCGAACGCCAUUGGACCCUCAGAGCGUGACCAGGACUUUGGUGCCGUGGAGUGUCGCGGUACCGGGAUUAGAGCAGACUCAUCGCAGCUCUCGCUCCUGUCCAGCUGCCCAUGGGCUUUCUUCCAGUUGCCGUGGCGUACCUGGCGGUACUGGUCAUAGGCGCUGCACUUUUGGUUGUCGCAAUGAAUCAGCCCAUGAAGACCACUGUGAAUGCCGGGGGUGCACAUGGUGAUCCUGGGGAGAAACAAAAGGCCAGCCCCCCAGGCUGCAGCCAAUGCCUUGCUGACCAGAAGAAGAAAGCCUGAUCACCAUGGGCAGUGAACAGAAGGGGCUGCAUAAAUGUCCUGAGUCUGCCCUCUGAGCAGCAGCUGAUGGCCUGCUGGAACAGAAACAGCUCCCUGUGCUCAAUGCAAGGGAGCAGAAGCAAGAUUCCUUCCUUCCAAGCACAUGGAUUCGUCCUCAAACGGCUGGUGCUGGAAAGUCCAAUCCCUCCCACAGCUUCUGCUUUCAAUGAUUUGGAAUUCAGCAGUAAAUAAGCAAUAAAUGCACAGUGCUGGCA